rnacentral:lncRNA from 1 species
ACAGGAAGGGGAGGAGCCCGUGUGGUCUGGGUCCCACAGUCAUGGUUUCCCUGUGGGCCAGCCGGUUCUCUGGCCAGACCUUGAUGCUCCAGGUCAGCCUCUUCCUGGGCGGGACACAGGACUGUUGGCAGAAACCACCAGAAUGCAGAGCCCUUCCCAGCCUUUCAUGGGAUCGGAUUUGGUCCUUUUCCGUGUGUCCUGUGAGUUCCAGGAGGGCACUUGGAGCGUGAACACCAGGAACACGGAUCCUGUAAGGAUUGUGGCACCAACGUCUCUCCAGUGGUUUUUCUCCGUCUUCCUGUGACUGGAACUCCAUCUCCUUCUCAGAGUGAAGAGUCUCUUCUGUAGUCUGUGAGAUGUCCCUUCCUAAAUUGCUUAAGUAUCAGUCAGACAGACAGAGAGACAGGAGUGGGGCAGCUGGCAGACCCACAGGUGCGCACGUCACCUGCCGCGCUGGGUGAGCUCCUGCCUCCGUCUACACUACACGGUUGGUCUCCGGAAAUUCCCUCCCUCCCAGCUUUUCCUGAAGCCCGGCCACUUGUCUUCUCUUGGAUCAUGGAGCUCCCUGUUCAAGACCCAGCAUCGCUGUGCGGAAACCUGCUGUCUCCUACCCUAAGGUGUUUUGUCUGAAAGAUAAAAUCCUGACUCAGUGGCACCUGGGUACACGCAGGAUCUCGUCUCUGCAACCCUUCACCGCCUGCCCCAAAAACCUAACCGCCUAAAAGAUGAAAUUAAAAAUCAGCAAAUAACUGAUGUGGGAAACAAAGGAAGAAGAAAAAUUAUUAAAUUUCCUUAUUACCUACAGCCCAUUGACAAGUCCUUGGAACAGGCCGAGGGACCUUCCUGUAGGGACUCAGCUGCCUCAUGUUGAACUUUGCUAAGGGCAAAAGGCAACCUUAGCCCAACCCCCAGGACCCUGUGAAGCUAUUUUAACAUAAUAGAGCUUCCUUUGGAAACUUCCUUUAUCUCUACCCCCCAAGAUGCAUGUUGGCAAUCAUCCCCCAAGCACAUGACCCAUUGAUAUAUAUCUGAAGGGUCUCAUGACUAAGGUUUUAUUAGACGGUAAUAAAUGACCUUUUCCCAAUAAUAGCUCGCCCCCU